rnacentral:lncRNA from 1 species
GCUAACUCUCUCAGGAUGUGAAUUGCCUGAGAUAUGGUGGCCUCAAAUGAAAAAAGAAAGGAAAGGGAAAAACCAACCAGAAAGAAAAGGAAUUUGAUAAUUAGUAAAUUGUCGGGAAGAAAAAGCAAAUGCCUUCAACCUAGUAGAUCAAAUUAGUAAAAUGUCUCUCCUGUAAGCAUCAAAAUUUCCACUCAAAGAAAAAAUAUCAAGCUUAUGUCAAUCAGCUGAAUUAAAAAUGAAAAAAUGAGCCUAAAAAAUCAAUUCCUAAUUUUGAGAAGUUAGAAAAUCACAAAAUUGCAUUUGCCCCAUACAUGAGAUAACAGGAUUUGUAUAGAAGUAAAAGAAUGGUUGGUGAAAAACAAAUGUUGAAGUCCAUUUAAGAUUACCACUUGAAUCCUAAGAAAUGAAAAUUGAGGGAGGUAAAUUAGGAAGCCUUUUCCCUCCUUCAAAAUUGCAUAAACCCCAAAACCUAUCAAAAUUUUCUCCUGAAUAGCAAUUAUACAUGAGAUAAAUAUAGUUAAAUGACAUGAAUUUCAACAUCUGAAUUUUUAGAUUUUUGACAAAAUGCUUCUAGUCCAUACCCAUUAAUUUCGAUAAACUUAAUAUUCAUUUUCCCCCUUCUUCUUAGUGUUUACAUGAAGAACAAAAAUAGUCUAAGGGGGUUACUUUGAUGGAUUCAAAAUAAAAAAUAAAUAAAUAGAUAAAUAAAAUGAAAAAAAAAAAAAGGAAACAAGAUCAAGAUGAGUCAAAAGUGUAGCAUCCUAAUUAGGGUGCAAAAUGAAGAGCUUUGCUCUAUCCGAAGCUUCCAUAGUCUUUGAUUUUAUUAGGUACAGACAAGGCACUAUAAUAAUAGUAGACUGCAUUGAAUUUCUUCAUGUCACUAAAAUUUUCAACUUCAUCUUAUGCACGGAAGACAAAAAAAAACACAAAAGAGAAGGAACACGAGCAAUCAUUGCUUCCAAGCUAAGCUUUGAUGCACAUGAAAAUGGAAAGAAGAAUAAGAGUGCAGAGAUGAGGUAUGUGAAAGUAUGGUGAGGGAUUGAUGCUCAUAAUAAUUAGUAAAUAUAUACCAGGGAAUCCAAACACAAACCCUAACCUUAACCCUAACCAGAAAAAGAGAGGUGGGAGGAAAUAGAAGUGAUGAAAAGAAACCUAAUUUGAAAUCAAAGAAAGAAAGAAAGGAAUAACAGAGUGUGAAGCCGUGGAAGGAAUCGAAAGAAUACCUGGAAGAUGUGGGCGAUGAAGUGGCUAAAGAAAUUGGUCGUUGAGCGAGUUGGUCAUUGAUCUAAGCCCCCUCAGUGAUGAGGAUGUCAGUGACGACAACAAUCUAGUCGGAGAAACAUACAGUGAUGAGGAUGGGAGAAGAGUUCGAUGGUCUGUAAUGGUGGCUAAGAAGAGUGAAUGAUAAAAGACAUGGCUCUCAAUGGGUUCAGCAGUCUAAAGUGAGCAGGAGAGAUAGUGCUUAUAUCGUGGCUCUAUGGUCGCG